rnacentral:rRNA from 1 species
UAACGCGUAGGCAACCUACCCUUUAGACGGGGACAACAUUCCGAAAGGAGUGCUAAUACCGGAUGUGAUCAUCGUGCCGCAUGGCAGGAUGAAGAAAGAUGGCCUCUACAAGUAAGCUAUCGCUAAAGGAUGGGCCUGCGUCUGAUUAGCUAGUUGGUAGUGUAACGGACUACCAAGGCGAUGAUCAGUAGCCGGUCUGAGAGGAUGAACGGCCACAUUGGGACUGAGACACGGCCCAAACUCCUACGGGAGGCAGCAGUGGGGAAUCUUCCGCAAUGGACGACAGUCUGACGGAGCAACGCCGCGUGAGUGAUGAAGGAUUUCGGUCUGUAAAGCUCUGUUGUUUAUGACGAACGUGCAGUGUGUGAACAAUGCAUUGCAAUGACGGUAGUAAACGAGGAAGCCACGGCUAACUACGUGCCAGCAGCCGCGGUAAUACGUAGGUGGCGAGCGUUGUCCGGAAUUAUUGGGCGUAAAGAGCAUGUAGGCGGCUUAAUAAGUCGAGCGUGAAAAUGCGGGGCUCAACCCCGUAUGGCGCUGGAAACUGUUAGGCUUGAGUGCAGGAGAGGAAAGGGGAAUUCCCAGUGUAGCGGUGAAAUGCGUAGAUAUUGGGAGGAACACCAGUGGCGAAGGCGCCUUUCCGGACUGUGUCUGACGCUGAGAUGCGAAAGCCAGGGUAGCGAACGGGAUUAGAUACCCCGGUAGUCCUGGCCGUAAACGAUGGGUACUAGG